UUUCCUCUAAGCCUUACUCAGGGUGCUGUUAGGUUAAGAGUGCUAAAAUACUUGUAAGUUUUUUAUUGGUGUCCAAUCACAAUGGUGUGUCAUGGCUGUUUGACAUAGAUGUGAUGGGGCAUUUGCCCCAAACUGACCCGUAAGGGUUAACAGAGCCUUAGGGAGGCUGCCUGAAAAGCAGCCAAUAGGAGGGGCGGGGGCCUGUCAGAUCCAUAUAAGAAGAGCUGCAGGACAGAGCAGGGUCAGUAGCUACCUGGUGCUCAAGGAGGGAAAAUCAGGCUUCUAGUAAGAAGGAAGGUGCAGCAACACCUUGGACAGGGCAGUGCUACUAGCAGGGACUGGGGACGUUAAAGAGAGCUCCUGGCUGGCUGCUAAGACUGGCAUUCUGAGGCCCUGAGGUAAGGGGGAAGUAGGUGCUAUGGCUUAGGGAAAUGUACUGAGAUGUUGGAGGGGAUGUAGCACAUAGCUGCCAUCUACAGAGUCCCUGGGAUGGGAUCUGGGUGUCAUUCCCCCGCCCUUUGCCACUGAGAAAGUGGCUGGCCUGUUGGACUGCAGUACUGGCCUCUGGAAGAGGGGCAAGCAGGCUGUGGCACAGCUGGAGGGCUGUGUCAUGAAGAGGAUGCCAUAGUCCUUGGAGUGAUGUGGGUCCAGGAGCAGAAGUGACAGUGGGUGAGACACUGCUGGCCUGUGAAGUUGAUCCCCAAGAUGACCAGCAGGAGGCACUAGCAUGCAUGUCAGCAGUGAAUGACACCAUUGCCAGAUGAACUAGUGUCCUGUGUGAAAUGAGGAGGGGAUGCUCCAAGGUAUCGCCAUUAUAAAAACCACCCCCAUCAUCACCUUCCACUACACCUCUACCAUGAUCUGAAGAGACUGCUUUUGUGAGGAGUGGCCUGGAACAAGAGUUCAGUCUUCAUGCUGUCUAUCAGAGAGGUCUAUCUACUUUACAUAUCUAGGUACUUGUAAUAUACAUAUUAUCUGAGGCCAUGGAAUCAAUAGGAAUGGAGAGUCUGUUCUGGUGUCCUUUCUUCUCUAGAAAUGGUCUCUCCAGAUCAUGGCUGCAGCACACCGAGGACAUGGAUAUGUAGAACUCUUAAGCCUUCUUCUCUAACCAGCUCUCUGCCAUAUUAAUUCUGUGCCAUCUUCAGGUUUCACUGGCUAGGCACAACUACAAAACUCUAUUUGGCAUUGCCAAAUGUUCAGUGUGAGGUUACAGGCUGCCCGGGUACCUUGCCUUUCAAACUAGUGCUGUGUUUUUUUUGCUUCACUUCUAUUGAAAGUUUUAAAAAUGU